rnacentral:rRNA from 1 species
GCAUAUCAAUAAGCGGAGGAAAAGAAACCAACAGGGAUUGCCCUAGUAACGGCGAGUGAAGCGGCAACAGCUCAAAUUUGAAAUCUGGCUUCGGCCCGAGUUGUAAUUUGCAGAGGAAGCUUUAGGCGCGGCACUUUCUGAGUCCCCUGGAACGGGGCGCCAUAGAGGGUGAGAGCCCCGUAUAGUUAGAUGCCUAGCCUGUGUAAAGCUCCUUCGACGAGUCGAGUAGUUUGGGAAUGCUGCUCAAAAUGGGAGGUAAAUUUCUUCUAAAGCUAAAUACCGGCCAGAGACCGAUAGCGCACAAGUAGAGUGAUCGAAAGAUGAAAAGCACUUUGAAAAGAGGGUUAAAUAGCACGUGAAAUUGUUGAAAGGGAAGCGCUUGUGACCAGACUUGCGCCGGGCAGAUCAUCCGGUGUUCUCACCGGUGCACUCUGCCCGGCUCAGGCCAGCAUCGGUUCUCGCGGGGGGAUAAAGGCCCUGGGAACGUAGCUCCUCCGGGAGUGUUAUAGCCCGGGGCGUAAUGCCCUCGCGGGGACCGAGGUUCGCGCAUCUGCAAGGAUGCUGGCGUAAUGGUCAUCAGCGACCCGUCUUGAAACACGGACCAAGGAGUCAAGGUUUUGCGCGAGUGUUUGGGUGUAAAACCCGCACGCGUAAUGAAAGUGAACGUAGGUGAGAGCUUCGGCGCAUCAUCGACCGAUCCUGAUGUUUUCGGAUGGAUUUGAGUAGGAGCGUUAAGCCUUGGACCCGAAAGAUGGUGAACUAUGCUUGGAUAGGGUGAAGCCAGAGGAAACUCUGGUGGAGGCUCGCAGCGGUUCUGACGUGCAAAUCGAUCGUCAAAUCUGAGCAUGGGGGCGAAAGACUAAUCGAACCAUCUAGUAGCUGGUUACCGCCGAA